UAUCUUGUCAUGGUGGAAAGCUCAUUCUCCUAGAUAUAAAAUUCUUUCCGAGAUGGCUCGUGAUGUGUUGGCAAUUCCAAUUUCUAGUGUGGCAUCGGAAUGUGCCUUUAGCACGGGGCCGUAUUCUUGAUUCGUUUAGGAGUUCUUUGACUCCGAAAUUGGUGCAAGUCGUUAUUUGUCUUCAAGAUUGGCGUCAAAAUGAGCCUUAUCCCAUAAAGGUUGAAGAAGAUUUUAAUGAUCUUAUGAAACUUGAACUUGAUAUGGCUGAUAGCUCAAAAGAUUCCCUCGUUCUUGAUUUGUAAUCGCAAGAUGCCUCAGGUUCAAGAGGAGUUGAGUAUUUUGGAAAGGAAAGCAUCACCGAUAGAGGAAAUAACAAAAGAAAAUAUGAAAAUGCAGGAGUUAGCCAUAUAUCCUUGAAUGCUUAUUGUUUGGGCUCUUCUACCGAAAGUUAAUUAUUUAUUAGAUUAGCUCAUUGGUGGAGGAGAAAUGAAUCUACUCACUCCCCCUAUACUUCCUAAAGAACAAAUGUAAUGGAAGUCUGUACAAUGAAACGUGCUUUCACCACAAGGAUAGUUGUAUUUCUGUUCUUUCAGCUGUUUAUGGCAUUGCUAAAGAAGACAGUUAAUGUACUUGCCUCUGAUAUCCUAAUGAAAUUGUGUGUAUAUGAAGGCUUCAACCUAAUCAAUUUCUUGUUUGACACCUUAAGCAGUGAAGUUCCUGUGAUGUAAUACAGUGGACUUCGACUUCAAUAUGGUAUUACCGAAUACCGUACCGAACCGAAGUUUAAUUUACCGAUUACCGAAUUACCGAACCGAAGUUUGAAAGUUCGGUAUUUGGUAUCUAUUUUCAAUUACCGAAUACCGAAUUACCGAUCCCGAACUUCAAAAAUACCGAACCGAAUACCGAACGCCCACCCC